UGGAUUAGUGGCGAACGGGUGAGUAACACGUGAGUAACCUGCCCUUAACUCUGGGAUAAGCCUGGGAAACUGGGUCUAAUACCGGAUAGGAGCGUCCACCGCAUGGUGGGUGUUGGAAAGAUUUAUCGGUUUUGGAUGGACUCGCGGCCUAUCAGCUUGUUGGUGAGGUAAUGGCUCACCAAGGCGACGACGGGUAGCCGGCCUGAGAGGGUGACCGGCCACACUGGGACUGAGACACGGCCCAGACUCCUACGGGAGGCAGCAGUGGGGAAUAUUGCACAAUGGGCGAAAGCCUGAUGCAGCGACGCCGCGUGAGGGAUGACGGCCUUCGGGUUGUAAACCUCUUUCAGUAGGGAAGAAGCGAAAGUGACGGUACCUGCAGAAGAAGCACCGGCUAACUACGUGCCAGCAGCCGCGGUAAUACGUAGGGUGCGAGCGUUAUCCGGAAUUAUUGGGCGUAAAGAGCUCGUAGGCGGUUUGUCGCGUCUGUCGUGAAAGUCCGGGGCUUAACCCCGGAUCUGCGGUGGGUACGGGCAGACUAGAGUGCAGUAGGGGAGACUGGAAUUCCUGGUGUAGCGGUGGAAUGCGCAGAUAUCAGGAGGAACACCGAUGGCGAAGGCAGGUCUCUGGGCUGUAACUGACGCUGAGGAGCGAAAGCAUGGGGAGCGAACAGGA
rnacentral:rRNA from 1 species